CCUACGGGUGGCAGCAGUGGGGAAUAUUGCACAAUGGGGGAAACCCUGAUGCAGCGACGCCGCGUGAGUGAAGAAGUAUUUCGGUAUGUAAAGCUCUUUCAGCAGGGAAGAAAAUGACGGUACCUGACCAAGAAGCCCCGGCUAACUACGUGCCAGCAGCCGCGGUAAUACGUAGGGGGCCAGCGUUAUCCGGAUUUACUGGGUGUAAAGGGAGCGUAGACGGCAGGGCAAGUCUGGAGUGAAAGGCGAUGGCUCAACCCUCGGACUGCUAUGGAAACUGUCAGGCUGGAGUGCAGGAGAGGUAAGCGGAAUUCCUAGUGUAGCGGUGAAAUGCGUAGAUAUUAGGAGGAACACCAGUGGCGAAGGCGGCUUACUGGACUGUAACUGACGUUGAGGCUCGAAAGCGUGGGGAGCAAACAGGAUUAGAUACCCGAGUAGUC
rnacentral:rRNA from 1 species